rnacentral:rRNA from 1 species
UACGUAGGGCGCAAGCGUUAUCCGGAAUUAUUGGGCGUAAAGAGCUCGUAGGCGGCUUGUCGCGUCGACUGUGAAAACCCGAGGCUCAACUUCGGGCUUGCAGUCGAUACGGGCAGGCUAGAGUUCGGUAGGGGAGACUGGAAUUCCUGGUGUAGCGGUGAAAUGCGCAGAUAUCAGGAGGAACACCGAUGGCGAAGGCAGGUCUCUGGGCCGAUACUGACGCUGAGGAGCGAAAGCAUGGGGAGCGAACAGG